UUUUGGUGUUCCACGUGCCGAGCGAAUCCGGGGAGAAGGUGACUCAGGGCAUCUCGGCGCUGCUCUCCAUGACUGUCUUCCUCAUGACCAUCAGAGUCCCCUGCCGCCCACUGAGAAGACACCGCUCGUCAUCAUAUGCUGUCGGAUCUGACUGGGCCAGAGCGGCGUACGGUAACCAGACCCUGAUGCGUCGUCCACUGGACUCGUCCUGCUGCACGUGUUGUGUACAAAUCGUCAAACAAACGUUCGAACUUCUGACUUCGACUUCGGACUGCCGCCCCCCUACCGCCCCCUUCUUCCUCACCGCCCCCCCCAGAUCUUUCCACCGCCCCCAGGGGGGCGGUACCGCCCACUUUGGGAACCACUGGUUUAUAUAGUUAAGGUAGUCUCUGUUUCUCUCUAUGUGUUUUUCUGUGUCUAUUUGUGUCUGUGUCUAUUUUUGUUACUGUGUGUGUGUGUGUGUGUGUGUGUGUGUGUGUGUUGUGUGUGUGUGUGUGUGUGUGUGUGUGUGUUCGUUUUGUUUUUUUCUGCCAGUUUUUUUUCUGUCUGUUUGUUUUUCUGUCUGUUUUUCCGUCUUUUUGUUAUCCUUAUGUAUGUUUGUGUCAAUACGUGUUUGCUUGUCUGCUUGCCACUUUGUUUGUCUGACUGCCUGCCUGCGUGUCUGUCUCUGUCUGUUUUUUGUUGUUGUUGUUGUUUUUUGUUUUUUAUCCAUGUUUCUAGAAUAUUGCGUUGUUGUUGUUGUUGUUGUUGUUGUUGUUGGUUGUGUUGUUGUUUUAUAAGUAACGAUGCCACCAUAAAUUCUAUGAAGUUAGUCCUUAAUUGUCUUAUUUAUUUAUUUAUCUUUUCUUAUUCAUUCAUUCAUUUAUUCAUUGAGCUACUCACUCAUUCAUUCAUUCACGUCGGCUGCUACGUUUUGUUUCUUAAUCAGUCACUUGACUCACCCACUCAGCCAAUCAUAUUAAUCAAUUACUCAAACUUAUUCACGGUCAUGCACUAUACAUAUCUAUUUAGCAAGUGAAUGCGGUACCUUGAUCUAUCAUUCAUUUGUUAUAGUUGUUAUUUAAUGCCACGUGUCGCUGCUGUUACUGCUCGUGUUGUUGACAGCAAUGGCGAGGAUAAAGUACCAAGUUAAUCCCUGCAAUAUUUUUUUCUCUUCACUGCGCGUUCAUCACUUAUUGCAACAGUUUUAUCUAUUCUGUUCAAAUCCUUCCUCACGUGUUGCUCUGAAUCCCGUGACGUGCUGUUCAUUUGUUGCUUGUAUGCUGACUUGCCCUGUGUCAUCAUUAGCACGGAUCAUUUCUGUGUGCUGUUAUGUAGGGCAGUGUUGUGUUGUAAUGGACAUGUGUUAUAAGGGGGCGUGUGUUGGGUUGUGGUGUGUAGUCAGAGGUCGUGUGUUGUUUUGUGUCGUUGUGUUGUGUUUGGGCAGUGGUGUUGUGUUGAGUCGUGUUGUGUGUGGGAAGUGUACUGUACUGUGUUGUAUUAUGUCGUAAGAAGGCAGUAUGUUGUUUUGUGUUGUGUUGUAAGAGGCUUGUAUUGUGAUAUGUGGAGGAAGUGUGUUGUGUUUGUUUGUGUUGUGCAGCGUUGUGUUGUACUGUAUCCUGUUAUGCUGCAAGAGAUCAGUUUAUUGUUAAUGGGCACAAAAGAAUUACGGGUAUUAUUUUUUUCUUUUAUUUUAGCUAAAGCAAGAACUAUAUCGGUCAUUGAACUGCCGAUGUGUUGAACCAAAUUAUUUGUUUUCUUUGUCAUGAUACUUGACGAUACUAAUUAUAAGCAAAGACUUCUCAAGCUAAUAUUUGUCCUUUAUAGGGGAUUUACUUAGCAGGAUGAAAGCUUCCGACCAGGAG